rnacentral:rRNA from 1 species
UUGAUUUUUUAAGGYYGGACAGAUAUUUUUCCGGCAGCCGAAUACAUUAGCMUGGGAUAAUGGAAUAGGACCCUGAUCCCUUAUUUUCAGUUGGUUUUGUUUAUACAGCGAGGUUCAUCMGGGUAAUGAUUAAUAGGGAUAGUUGGGGGCAUUAAUAUUUAAUUGUYAGAGGUGAAAUUCUUGGAUUUAUGAAAYAUUAACUUCUGCGAAAGCGUUUGCCAAGGAUGUUUUCAUUWAUCAAGAAKKAAAGUUAGGUGAUCGAAGACGAUCAGAUACCGUCGUAG